CAGUAGCCGCGGGAAUACGAAGGGGGCUAGCGUUGCUCGGAAUUACUGGGCGUAAAGGGCGCGUAGGCGGCGCUCCAAGUUAGGCGUGAAAUUCCCGGGCUCAACCUGGGGACUGCGCUUAAGACUGGAGUGCUUGAGGAUGGAAGAGGGUUGUGGAAUUCCCAGUGUAGAGGUGAAAUUCGUAGAUAUUGGGAAGAACACCGGUGGCGAAGGCGGCAACCUGGUCCAUUACUGACGCUGAGGCGCGAUAGCGUGGGGAGCAAACAGGAUUAGAUACCCGAGUAGUCCCUGUCUCUUAUAC
rnacentral:rRNA from 1 species